rnacentral:rRNA from 1 species
UACGGGGGGGGCAAGCGUUGUUCGGAAUUACUGGGCGUAAAGGGCUUGUAGGUGGCCAACUAAGUCAGACGUGAAAUCCCUCGGCUUAACCGGGGAACUGCGUCUGAUACUGGAUGGCUCGAGUGUGGGAGAGGGAUGCGGAAUUCCAGGUGUAGCGGUGAAAUGCGUAGAUAUCUGGAGGAACACCGGUGGCGAAGGCGGCAUCCUGGACCAAUAUUGACGCUGAGGAGCGAAAGCUAGGGGAGCAAACGGGG